CCAAUCUUAGUUACUUAGGAAAAAUGUGAAUAAGGUGCUAAUCCAUGAAAUUACACUUUACACUUUGUCUAAGUCGUUAGUGGAGCGUGUGUGGUUAACCGGCACACUAACUUGGACUUAACAAGGUAGGUAAAGGGUGACUUAAUAUUUAUCAUAGUAUCGAUGGAGCGUGUGUGGUUAACCGGCACAUCGAUUGAGGGGUAAUUUAUUAAGGGUACCAAGUGAUUUGCAUGGUUACUUCACACCUUGUUUUGUGAUCCUCGGCAUCCCAGUCACAAAACCUGAAGGGCACACUCGAGAUUGAAACAUGCCUUUGAAAAGUUCAAUGAAUCUCAAAGAUCUAGGAGUUUCAAAACCAAUUAAAACCUAAUAAUACAUUUCGUUUAUCUUGGUGGAAAUUGGUGAAUCGUCAUUCACCUACCUUCAAAUAUUUUAUAGCUUGGAUUACGGCAUACCUCUUCUAAGUUAUAAAAUAGUUUGUUGGGUCCUAGCCUUAAUAUUUCAUAUUGGGUGUCAUAUUAAGGACUUUAAAUCAACUAUCUUGAAUAUCUCCCAAAAGAUGUCUGGUUUAGACACCUAUGAUCUUCCCAAAUCUCUUGAAACAAGGUUUCCUAAUGAAGAUGAUGUCCCAUGGAUAUCAUACUUCUUCACCUCUUCAAAUUAUUCUCCCUAACCCACAAGUUCUUGAAAAGUUUAAGGUCACUCAGGCCCUAUUGGCAAGGCAAGGUCUAGGUGUGGUCACAUCUUGGAGAUGUAGUCACAUAUUGACAAGCCGGGAGAGUUGGGUGUCAAAGUCUUGAGAAAGUUGGUGGUUCAACCACUUUCUAAGUCACAUAGUGAGUUCCUUUGGGACACCUAUGAAACAGACUAUGACAAGACCCUUAAUGAUCUUAUCUAUUUGCUAAGAUCAACUUCCUAAAACUUUAUGGACAUUGACAAUGAUGACAUUGGAUAUCCAGUAAAGCAUUCUCUUCCCAAUGGAAAGGGAUCGGCCAUAGUCAACUCGGUUGACCAAAUGGUAAAGAGAAAAGCUAAGUCUGUGAUAGUCCCGUGUACCAUUAUCAAAGGGUCCAUAUGUUUAUAUUGCCAAAGGAAGGGGCAUUGGUUGCGAAGCUGCCAAAUUUACCUAAGGAUGUUAAAGUCAAUAAGUUUGACUCUACUUCAGGUAAAGUCCACUAUCUAACUCUGUUAAGUUUCUAUUCUGAGAUUCUUGAUACAUGAUGUGACUGGGUCACAUGGUGAUGUUUUAAGAAUCAAAGAAAAGUGAAGAAACUUAAAGAAAGAAUAUGCUGAAUCUGAUGGCGUAGAUGGAUUUCUAUCGCAUAGUUUGAAGAUCGGAUUCUUGAGCUACUUCUUAGGAGUUAUGAGAUAUUGCUUAGGAAUAGAUAACAACAAGUUUUCAUAUGGAUUGUAAGGAUAAGUUUUUCCGCAAAGUUUUAAAAUAAAAGAAAAUUUUUUUGAUUUUAUUUAUUUUAAAAUAUCCUUACAAUGGCAUUUGAGGAAAAAUUGUUGCUUAUAUGAUUCCAUUAAGAGCAAGAGUGGAAAUAUGAAAUUGAUUCUUUCAUUUGUGGUAAUGUCUAAAUUUACCAAAUAAGGAAAGAUUCUCAUCACCCAAGUUUCAAUUGGACCGGAACUUGGAAUCAUGCAAGUUGUAUAGCAUGAUGAAUGAGAACUUUCAAGUUUUGGAAAAUUAAGACUAAUUACUUGUUCACAUGGAUGUGUGAGUCAAGUAAAGGACUUAGGGAUCGAGUACACAUUCUUGUGCACUGAUUAAGUCCACCACUAAAGAUCGAUAAGAAGAAUCAAAUAAGGCAGAAGGAUAAAAGUUUCUCAAAUCUGAAAAGAUGGGAGAGUACUUUAGUAUCAGUUUUGUGAUCAUCUUAAUGAUUAAGAAACCAUAUCAAAAUUAGUUCUCUAAGGAAAUCUUAGUGCAUUCUUAUGACUAAGAAGAGGAACUUGAAUUGUUGAAAUGGUUAAAUCAAGAAGAUGAGUCAUACUUCGUUCCAAUACAAGUCUUAGAGUCAUACUCCAAGAUUGUCAUUUGAGUGACAUGUCUUAAAGAAGGUUUAAAACACUUGUCAAAUGUAAGAGUAAAAGUUUUCUACUCUUGUACAUUUGAAAUUGGUAAGUUGUGAUGUUUUGGAUAAAACAAAGACCAACUUAGGCCAAUUGGGUAAAGUGUUUUUCUUGAUUAGAAUCCGCACUAUCUCUUGGAUGUUUGACAAGGGAGUCUUAUAUGUCAAGAGGACAGUGGGAGUCUUAAAGGUCUUGAAAGUCUCAAGAAAUAAUCAAGAAUAAAACCUAAAGUUCUUCACUAGCACACGACUUGAGGUUUAUAACCUAUCGUGUUGACAUAUCUGUGCCCAUUCCAGUUAAAGUUGGCUUUGCAUAUGAGUUCUUAGAGUUCUCAGUUUGUUGCAUAACAACUUGGAAGCAAUGGCAGGCCCUUGAGCUGCCAGGUGGCAAGAAGUUAAGAUUGAGUUCAAUCCAUAUGGUUUUGGAUUUGUCAUUAUCUUUGUCUUGUGAUUAUGGUUUGACAAAUUCAUAUGGGUAGGAACUCAUACACCAUAUAAAUCUAAGUGUCAUAAGGUUUCUCUCCGAUUCAUGAAAAUGAUGGUGAGGAAACGCUUUCACUAAGUAGAUUUUACGAAGAUAUCAAUUGUGUUAUUUGCAUUUUCAAAAGUCGUUAGUGGAGCGCGUGUGGUUAACCGGCACACUAACAUGGACUUGUGAGAAAUGGCAAAUGCCUAAGCAAUUGAGACCAUGAUUACGGUAUCCCUUUUCAUGGUUCUUGAAAUUGCUUAGACACACAGGUGAGCUAUCUACGGAAAGGGUGUAUGAAUCUAAAUUUCAGACUGUCCAGCUGAUUUCUGAGUACAUGUCAAAGCUAGUGGGAGCAUAAGUGUUAUGCUAAUAAUCAUCAUGUUAGUGGGAGCAUGAUAAUUAUGAUAAGUAUUGCAAGUUAGCAAUGUUAAUUAUAGAAAACAAAAGUUUCAAUUGGGAAAAAGUUGUUUUGCUAUAAUUAAGGGAGAGGAAAUUAUGCUUCAUCUCAAAUCUAUAAGCUUAGAUCGUGAGGUUUUAAUCAUUUAGUCAAGGAUAUAUAUGAAUUUCAUGUUGGAAUGGCUCAACAUAAGGAAAUUCUGUAUAUGGGUCCAUUAUUUGCGUUCUAAAAUUCGAUUAUGAUUACGGCAUCCCUUUUCAUAAUCUGAAUUAUGAGAACUUGGCAAAUUGAAAUGGAAAUAUUAUAGCAAAAGACUGGUUUAGUCUUUAUGUAAGACAUCAUGAAUCGUGUCCCAUAUGCUUCGGAUAUAGGAUCGAUUACAUGUGCUAUAUUCAUCCGUUCUAAAAUUUUCCAAAUGCCUGGGGCAUUAAGAAGGGAAAAGGUUUAGAACUGGAUAUGACUAAAAGGAUUAAACAAUUGUCGAGGACAAUCUAAGGUUUACCAAAGAUUGGUUACUCAAGGACAAUUGGAAGUAUAGUGAUAAUUCUGGAAGGACCAUAUUGACAUAAUCUGUAAGGAGGCAACUCUUGUUCAGAAGUGAUAGUCAAAAUGGAAUCUGGAAAUGUUUCAAAGUUAGAAUUUUCAAUCUGUGUAAGAUUAAGGAAACUUAAUGCAAGAAGGAUAUUUCCAAGGAGUUGAUCUCCUUUGGAAUACUCUGUAAUGAUUGUUGCCAAGUCUUUGUGACUUUGUGCAUAAUCAUUACAAGAGGAUCAAUGCAUAUAAGUUUAGAAUCUAACAGAUUUCAGUAAAUGGCAUGAAUUUGGAAUUCUUGCAUUUGCAGUAAGGAUUUGGGAGUGUGAAAAGAGAAUCAUUGAAGUUAUGUUCAAUUGAUCUAGUUCACAAAGUAAAGAUCAUAGACAAACAUAGUAUGCAUACUUGGUGUGUGGCAUGACUAGUGUUUAAGAAAACAUAGUGUACAUGCUUGGAGCAUGGGACAACUAUUGUUUUAAAUUCAAGAAUAAAGUUGAUAGCUGAAACAGUAUACAAUGAAUAAUGUGUAAUCAUAUGGUGAUAAAUAAAAGGUGUUUUAUUUAUGUUCAAAGGGUUGAUACCAUAUUGGAUUCAAUUAUUAUUGUGUUUCAUUUUGCAUGUUUUGACUUCCCGAAUAAACUGGGUUAUUCUUCCGGAAUGACUAAGUUAUUCAAACCAUCCACAGUCGGUCAUAUGUUGGAAGUAGAUAUGAAUUAAGACUGUCAUGGGUUGGCUUGUAGAGGUCUAAGGUGUUGGACAAAGGGCUACAACACUCAUGAGUGCUCAUAAGUUCUGAGUAUUGGAUUCAACCCGCGCUCAUUGGAAUCACUUCAUGGAUUUUAUCACGAGUGAUCAUGAGACGAUAAUAUCUUAUAUUCUUCAAACCUAGAGAUAUGAGUUGUUACUAUGAGUUGAUAGUACAUUGAUUGCACGAAAACGCAUUUGGUAACUCGGUGCUAUAAAACGUGCCUUUGUGUAUGAUUCAACAAGUAGUAGAACAAGCCAUAUGAGUCGAAGUUUAUCCAUUCCUUUUACCUUCGGGAUAAAAGCGAUAUCUGUGGGCCCCUCGAUGAUUUGAUGAUGACAAAUGGAAGUGCUCGGCCGGGCCAGGACUGAUUUGAUUUGUUCAAUUAGUCAGUCGUCAUAAAUCGGAAAUCGGGAAACAACAAAUGGACAGAGAGAAUGAUUAUAAUCCAUGUCUCAGUCCAUAUGAUAUCUAGAAUGGAGGAAUAUAUGAUCCCUUAUCUAAUGGACAAGUCAUUGACAAAGGUCAGAGUUCAUCUACAAGGUCAGAGUUCGACAGAAGCUUUUGAGAGCUACGAUUGCCAGUUGGUUCCUGAAGUCAUACGCAAUAAUAGUUUUAGACUUAUCCAAGUGGGAGACUGUUGGAUUAAUGUCUAAGUCCAUAACUAUAAUUGGUAAGACUUGACCCGACCCGGCAUGGUCCAUUUGGGUUGCAUGGCAUCAUGCACUUGGAUAGACUAAAUGAGAGAAAUAAGACACUUAUGGUUAUUAAUAUAUUAUAAGUUCUAGUAUAUUAAUAAUAAGAAUAAUAGUAUUUAAUUAGUAUUGAUCAAGAAUUAAUCUAGGAUUAAUUAAGUGAUCAAAAGAAGACUAAUUAAAUAUAUGGGUUGAUUGUGCAAAUCAUCCAUAACUUAUAUAGUGGGCCAAAGCUCCAUGGAUAAUCAAGUUGGGUUAAACCCAUAAUGGUCCGUGNGGUCCAUGGAUGCUCCAUGGUGUAUUUGUACCCAUGGAUCCAAGGAAAUGGAAAGUCAUGACAAUUAGGGUUUGCCCUAAUUGUAACACUAUAUAAGCAUCAUAUUAUUCACCAAAAUUGGUACUAGUGGGUGUACUAGAAGGGCUAGCCGAUUUCAUGAAGUGUGGGUUUUCUCUCAAGUCAUUCCAUGUGUAUUUGGUGUUGUGUGAACCAUUUGAGGUGUCACACUUGGGGCACUAGGCACUCAAGCUUCAUGAAGACAUUCUACAUCAAAGAGGUAUGUAUUCUAUCUUGCUAUAGUCAUUGUUUUUGUAUGCUAGAUUAGGAUAAUACCUUGGAAGUUCUUAUUUGCAUGUAUAAUAGAGAAAACAUAGAUCCAAGGUAUUUAGGGUUGCAUGUACACUUAGGAGUGUUAGAAUGCUCAAAACCCAACAAUAUGACUCUAAGAACCGCAUGCUAGAUUAGGGAUGAGGAUCUAGGAGGAUGCCUUUUAUGCCUGAUAUAUGUUUUCAAGAACUGCAUGCUAGAUUAGGGUUGAGGAUCUAGGAAGGAUGCCUUAUAUUCCUGUUGUAUGAGCUGCAUGCUAGGACUACCUAGUCAACAGUAGGAUGGCCUGGUUAGGUAAUGCUUGAUAUGCUUACUCGAUGCACGAAUUCUGCUUGCUUUUUGAUAUAGGGGUCUUGGCUAACUUCUACUAACCAGUGAACGGAUGUGUAAUAGUAUACGCAAGCUAGUUAGGGGAGGAUGGUAAGGACUCCUGGUGCAGCUGAUGGCAGAGAGUAGGUCGGAGAGUGCCCUAGGAAAGCCUAGGAUGGGAAUAGUUGGAAAGGGAUAUUGGUUAAGGGACUUGGUGAAGUCAAAUCAAUCCUUGAGGAAAGUACGGAUAGAUGUGGAAGGUAGUGUGGGGCCGUACUACUGAAAACAGAGGAUCCGUACUCGAGCCAAGGAGGGCCGAGAUGGAACCAGAAAUCUUGGAUAAUGUGUGAGACCUCUCGGGGUAUGUUUUGAUCCUGACAUUUAUGUGUUAUUUUCAGUAUGGUGGUCACACGACAUGGAGCAGGAGGCUCAGGGUCCACUCUCACCUACCGCUUGCUUGACUGGUGGAGGGUCGUUANACGGGUAAGACAAGGACUUAUUAAUUCUCAUUCAAAGUAUGAUGAAUAUUAUAAAGUAACUAAACGUUUUUAUUAAAUUCCCAAUCUUAGUUACUUUAGGAAAAAUGUGAAUAAGGUGCUAAUCCAUGAAAUUACACUUUACACUUUGACUUAAGUCGUUGGUGGAGCGUGUGUGGUUAACCGGCACACUAACUUGGACUUAACAAGGUAGGUAAAGGGUGAAUUAAGGUUUAUCAUAGUAUCGGUGGAGCGUGUGUGGUUUACCGGCACAUCGAUUGAGUGAUAAACUUUAAGGGUACCAAGUGAUUUGCAUGGUUACUUCACACCUCGUUUUGUGAUCCUCGGUAUCCCAGUCACAAAACUUGGAGGGCACACUCGAGAUUGAAACAUGCCUUUGAAAAGUUCAUUGAAUCUCAA
rnacentral:lncRNA from 1 species